CUCGAGGUAACACAGGCUGUAUUCUCUAAAUACAGCGAUUCUCGAGGUAACACAGGCUAUGGUACAAAUGCUUUACCUGUAAAAAUUACACCCGGCCUUUAUCCCCCGAUGUAUUUUGGGCAAGUACUUGCGACCCAGUUGUAUUGCUGGUCUCCAACUGAAUGAAUCGACUUGCGGCAGCAGCACCAACAUCGAAAACAGCA